rnacentral:misc_RNA from 1 species
AAUUAAAUUUGAUAAGUUUUAGUUGUCAGAACACUAAAUUAGUAAAACAACUCUUUUUAAAUUAUUUUUUUUAACAGCAUCUAAAAUAGUGCUUUUUCCCUGAAAAGCAGUUUUAGCCUUGAAACCUCAAUGCCAAAUAGGCACUUAAUUUAUUUAUAUGAUGCAAAGAAAAUAAACUUUUUUCUAUUGGCUCCAGUUCAAAUAGCUAUUUGGAUUUUGUGAUGUCAUGGGUGAUUAUUUUACAGUUAAAUAUAUAAUAUAUUAUAAGCUAUCAUAAGUUUAGAGGUGCAUUUGAGAUGGGGUAAAUAUAUCCAGUAUAGAUAAGGCAUAUGCAUCAGUGCAAAAGAUUAAGCAUGUCCAAGUUGGAGUGAUAUGAGUGAGUGAGAGAUCCAGAAUAACAUAUGCAAAGUGUUUAGAAAAAAUUUAGCACCACCAACCCUUUCUACAGUUGUUGUCCUAAAUUGAACAUAGUGGGGGAAUAUUUCAAUGUAGUGUCUUCAACUAGAUUAGGACUAGAGUUUUGUUGAGUUGAGUAAAAGAGCAGCACAACUUAUAAAGGAUGUGCCUGGUACACAAAGCUUACCACUUUGGAAGUGCUGGAAGAGGGAUGAGCAACCUUUCCAUUGCAACAAGGCUUGUGCUCACAAUAAUGAAAUACAGCACCUAAUGUUACAAAUUGGUGAAACUAAAUUAUUAAUAGUGCCUUAAAAAGUUUGAGUAUCUAUGGAGUAUUCAAUAUUCAUGAGAUUUUAUACUAUGUUUAUCCUCUCCUUUUAUGUGUGUGGGUGCUUGUUAACUGGAUGAAGGAAAAUAAAGAUGCCUUACCAUGGCCCACACACGGUAAGAAUUGUUGCAGUGAUGAGUAAACUAGUCUUUUGCUUCCUAACAUUGAUAGACUUUUACCACAAAUGGAAUACCUAGGUUAAAGAUUUUUCAAGAUGUAUUUCACAGUAAAUACAUCCUAUGCUUGUAGAUUUGUAAUCAUGUUUGCUUAUCUUUAUUGUGCAAAGCUAUAAAUUGAGUUUAAACAUAAAGAAUAAAUAUUCAAGUAUUUGUUGAUGCUAUUAUUAGAGUGCGAUAGCAGCCGUGGAUCUCAACUAGCUUCGGUCAGUUCAUGACGUUUUGCGAUAGCUGUAAUCUGAGUUCAGAUUAUUAUGGGUAGCAGUUAUAUUUUUUUUUCCC